rnacentral:rRNA from 1 species
AUUGAACGCUGGCGGCAGGCUUAACACAUGCAAGUCGAGCGGGCGAGGUUGCUUCGGUAACUGAGCUAGCGGCGGACGGGUGAGUAAAGCUUAGGAAUCUGCCUAUUAGUGGGGGACAACAUUUCGAAAGGGACGCUAAUACCGCAUACGCCCUACGGGAGAAAGCAGGGGAUCACUUGUGACCUUGCGCUAAUAGAUGAGCCUAAGUCGGAUUAGCUAGUUGGUGGGGUAAAGGCCUACCAAGGCGACGAUCUGUAGCGGGUCUGAGAGGAUGAUCCGCCACACUGGGACUGAGACACGGCCCAGACUCCUACGGGAGGCAGCAGUGGGGAAUAUUGGACAAUGGGGGGAACCCUGAUCCAGCCAUGCCGCGUGUGUGAAGAAGGCCUUUUGGUUGUAAAGCACUUUAAGUGGGGAGGAGGCUCUCUUGGUUAAUACCUGAGAAGAGUGGACGUUACCCACAGAAUAAGCACCGGCUAACUCUGUGCCAGCCGCCGCAGUAAGAC